AUUUAGGUGGCAGAAUAGUGCAUUAGGUUUAAACCCUAAAUAUGAGAUUUUUCCCUAAAUA
rnacentral:tRNA from 1 species